rnacentral:lncRNA from 1 species
CACAGUAGCGGACUGGCCACCCACUUGAACUCUGCUUUGCUGCUCUACCAGAGGGGUUUGGGGGAUGGAACAAGUAACCAUCAUGCACCUAGGUAGCAGACAUUUUUCUUUAUGUUUGCGUUGCCAUCAAGUAGGAUUUAAGUUUGAAUGGUCAUGUAAUGGGAUUGAUAUUAGGAACUUGGGCCUCCAGGCUCUAAACUAGUUUACAUGGAGAAUUUUUUUUUAUGCAUAAGUAGUUUCUUAUUGAAACAACUAUUAAAACUAAGAUUUUUUUUUUUUUUUAACAUAGGGUUCAUGGGUGAUUGGUGAUGAUGUUGUAUAAAUCUAUUAUUUAUUUGAAUAAAUAGUUUUUUUCAUAAACUAUCUGCCAUUCUUUUUAUAUUUUUAUGAUCGAUAUUUCUUUAUAUAUAUAAAUAGAGAGAGAGAAAGAAAGAG